rnacentral:rRNA from 17 species
GUGUAAGUAUAAAUAAUUCUACUUUGAAACUGCGAAUGGCUCAUUAUAUCAGUUAUAGUUUAUUAGAAAUAGUGUACUACUUGGAUAACCGUAGUAAUUCUAGGGCUAAUACAUGAGUAAAUCCUCGACUUUUGAAGAGGUGUGUUUAUUAGUAUGAAAACCAUAUGCUUUUGCAUGAUAGUGAGUAAUAAUAACCUUUCAUAUCGCCUGUUUUAAAUAGCGAUAGUUCUUUCAAGUUUCUGCCCUAUCAGCUUUCGAUGGUAGUGUAUUGGACUACCAUGGCAGUAACGGGUAACGAAGAAUUUGGGUUCGAUUUCGGAGAGGGAGCCUGAGAGAUGGCUACCACAUCCAAGGAAGGCAGCAGGCGCGUAAAUUACCCAAUCCUGACAUAGGGAGGUAGUGACAAUAAAUCACAAUGCGGGACUAUUUAGUUUUGCAAUUGAAUUGAGAACAAUGUACAAGAGUUAUCGAUAAACAAUUGGAGGGCAAGUCUGGUGCCAGCAGCCGCGGUAAUUCCAGCUCCAAUAGCGUAUAUUAACGUUGUUGCAGUUAAAAA